rnacentral:lncRNA from 1 species
GGGAAUGUUCCGGUGUGUCUAGUGCAGCACUUGGCUUCCAGUGGUAAGUGGAUAGGUGAUGGCCACUGCUAUAAUGUGAUGUGUGUGGGGAUGGCGGUGAGCAUGAAACACUGCAGUAAGGGCAUGGAGCACUGUAGUAAGGGCAUGGAGCACUGCAGUAGGAGCAUGGAGCACUACAGUAGGAACAUGGAGCACUGCAGUAAGGGCAUGGAGCACUGCAGUAAGGGCAUGGAGCACUGCAGUAAGGGCAUGGAGCACUGCAGUAAGGGCAUGGAGCACUGUAGUAAGGGCAUGGAGCACUGCAGUAGGAACAUGGAGCACUGCAGUAAGGGCAUGGAGCACUGCAGUAAGGGCAUGGAGCACUGCAGUAGGAGCAUGGAGUACUGCAGUAGGAACAUGGAGCACUGCAGUAAGGGCAUGGAGCACUGCAGUAAGGGCAUGGAGCACUGCAGUAGGAGCAUGGAGCACUACAGUAGGAACAUGGAGCACUGCAGUAAGGGCAUGGAGCACUACAGUAGGAACAUGGAGCACUGCAGUAAGGGCAUGGAGCACUGCAGAAGGAGCAUGGAGCAAUGCACUAAGAGGGAAGGUAUCCUGCAAGGACAUGAGGACAGGUCUCCAGUGAGAGGGCUUUCCCUCAGCGAUGCAGCUGUGGAUGGAGGCCAACAGACAGGGACUGAGGUCUGGAACCUCAGGGCAGGGCUAUGUGCAUCUGGAAUUUUUCCUGGUCGUGUAUGUCCCUUUUUUUUUUCUUGAAAAAAAUUUAAGUUUUUUUU